GCAUAAAUGGCACAGUGGGUCAGUGCAUCUGGCUGUUAACCCAAAGGUUGGUGGUUCGAGCCCACCCAAGGGCGGCA